CGGGAUGUAGCGCAGCCUGGUAGCGCGCCAGCAUGGGGUGUUGGAUGUCGGAGGUUCGAAUCCUCUCAUCCCGACCA
rnacentral:tRNA from 1 species